rnacentral:rRNA from 1 species
UACGUAGGGUGCGAGCGUUAAUCGGAAUUACUGGGCGUAAAGUGUGCGCAGGCGGCCGCGCAAGUCGAGUGUGAAAGCCCCGGGCUUAACCUGGGAAUUGCGCUUAAGACUGGACUGCUUGAGUGCGGGAGAGGUGAGUGGAAUUCCCAGUGUAGAGGUGAAAUUCGUAGAUAUUGGGAAGAACACCAGUGGCGAAGGCGGCUCACUGGCCCGCAACUGACGCUGAGGCGCGAAAGCGUGGGGAGCAAACAGG